GAUGAACGCUAGCGGCAGGCCUAAUACAUGCAAGUCGAACGGGAUCUGAGGGUAGCUUGCUACCCGAUUUGAGAGUGGCGCACGGGUGCGUAACGCGUGAGCAACCUACCCAUAUCAGGGGGAUAGCCCGAAGAAAUUCGGAUUAACACCGCAUAAUAAUACGCUAACACAUGUUGAUGUAUUUAAAUAUUUAUAGGAUAUGGAUGGGCUCGCGUGACAUUAGCUAGUUGGUAAGGUAACGGCUUACCAAGGCGACGAUGUCUAGGGGCUCUGAGGGGAGAAUCCCCCACACUGGAACUGAGACACGGACCAGACUCCUACGGGAGGAAGCAGUAAGGAAUAUUGGUCAAUGGGCGCAAGCCUGAACCAGCCAUGCCGCGUGCAGGAUGACUGCCCUAUGGGUUGUAAACUGCUUUUGUUAGGGAAUAAAGUGAGCCUCGUGAGGCUUUUUGCAUGUACCUUAUGAAUAAGGACCGGCUAAUUCCGUGCCAGCCGCCGCAGUAA
rnacentral:rRNA from 1 species